rnacentral:rRNA from 1 species
UGGGGAAUAUUGGACAAUGGGCGAAAGCCUGAUCCAGCCAUGCCGCGUGUGUGAAGAAGGUCUUCGGAUUGUAAAGCACUUUAAGUUGGGAGGAAGGGCAGUAAGCGAAUACCUUGCUGUUUUGACGUUACCGACAGAAUAAGCACCGGCUAACUCUGUGCCAGCAGCCGCGGUAAUACAGAGGGUGCAAGCGUUAAUCGGAAUUACUGGGCGUAAAGCGCGCGUAGGUGGUUCGUUAAGUUGAAUGUGAAAGCCCCGGGCUCAACCUGGGAACUGCAUCCAAAACUGGCGAGCUAGAGUAGGGCAGAGGGGGGUGGAAGUUCCUGUGUAGCGGUGAAAUGCGUAGAUAUAGGAAGGAACACCAGUGGCGAAGGCGACCACCUGGGCUCAUACUGACACUGAGGUGCGAAAGCGUGGGGAGCAAACAGG